rnacentral:rRNA from 1 species
UACGGGGGGAGCAAGCGUUGUUCGGAUUUACUGGGCGUAAAGGGCGCGUAGGCGGCCUCUGCAAGUCGACUGUGAAAUCUCCGGGCUUAACCCGGAAAGGUCAGCCGAUACUGCAGGGCUGGAGUGCAGAAGGGGCAACUGGAAUUCUCGGUGUAGCGGUGAAAUGCGCAGAUAUCAGGAGGAACACCGGUGGCGAAGGCGGGUCUCUGGGACGGUACUGACGCUGAGACGCGAAAGCGUGGGGAGCGAACAGG